UUACAACUGUCAAUGCAUUGCAGUCAGUGCAGAAGGCUGUAUAACAGUCACUAAACAUAGUAAACAUGCUGCCAGAACGGAGACUAUGGAGAAGAAAGUUACACAGCGGCGACAAGAUACCUAAUUUUUGAUGCUAUAUCCACAUGUAUUAUGGUGGUCAUCUGAACAGGUAUUGCAGUCACUAAACAUAGUAAACAUGCUGCCAGAACGGAGAUUAUAGAGAAGAAAGUUACACAGCGGCGACAAGAUACCUAAUUUUUGAUGCUAUAUCCACAUGUAUUAUGGUGGUCACCUGAACAGGUAUUGCAGUCAAUAAACAUAGUAAAAAUGCUGCCAGAACGGAGACUAUGGACAAGAAAGUUACACAGCGGCGACAAGAUACCUAAUUUUUGAUGCUGUAUCCACAUGUAUUAAUCUUAUCACCUUAUCAAUUACUAAACACUUUAUCAAAUCUUAUCAUGUAUUAAAUUAUCACUUGUAUCAAGCUUGAAAAAACUGACAGUUGACAUGCUGAAAGUCGUGUCAAUAACAAGAGCUGUUCUGCUAUUGAUAUGAUGUCCGCUGUGUGGCGCGACAUGACGUGUCAUUUUUUAUAAUUUUUUUUUCGUAGAGGCAGAGUUAUAAGAGGAGAUGGUUAUGGCAAUCAGUUUUUUUGCCAUAAUAUGGCAACCGGUUUUCCCUCAAUAAAAAUUCGUGCAGGAACGUAAAAAAAAUAAUCCUACCCAUUCGCCAUCUAGCGGCCGAUUGCGAACUAGGUUUCCACAAUCUAGUUUGCAAAGUAAACAUGUCUUUCUCAAUUCCUGUUCCUUUAUAAUUAUAUUAGAUUGAACUAAAAAUUGUCUUUUAUAAGCUAG